rnacentral:rRNA from 1 species
UACGAAGGGGGCUAGCGUUGCUCGGAAUCACUGGGCGUAAAGGGUGCGUAGGCGGGUCUUUAAGUCAGGGGUGAAAUCCUGGAGCUCAACUCCAGAACUGCCUUUGAUACUGAAGAUCUUGAGUUCGGGAGAGGUGAGUGGAACUGCGAGUGUAGAGGUGAAAUUCGUAGAUAUUCGCAAGAACACCAGUGGCGAAGGCGGCUCACUGGACGCGUAUUGACGCUGAGGUGCGAAAGCGUGGGGAGCAAACAGG